rnacentral:rRNA from 1 species
GUGCCAGCAGCCGCGGUAAUACGUAGGGGGCAAGCGUUGUCCGGAUUCACUGGGCGUAAAGCGCGCGCAGGCGGUGAUGUAAGUCUGAGGUGAAAACCCGAAGCUCAACUUCGGGACUGCCUUGGAUACUGCGUCACUUGAGGAUAGGAGAGGCAAGGGGAAUUCCACGUGUAGCGGUGAAAUGCGUAGAGAUGUGGAGGAACACCUGUGGCGAAGGCGCCUUGCUGGCCUAUUUCUGACGCUGAGGCGCGAAAGCGUGGGGAGCAAACAGGAUUAGAUACCCUGGUAGUCCACGCUGUAAACGAUGAGUGCUAGGUGUAGGUGGGCUCAUACCCAUCUGUGCCGAAGCUAACGCAUUAAGCACUCCGCCUGGGGAGUACGGUCGCAAGACUGAAACUCAAAGGAAUUGACGGGGGCCCGCACAAGCAGUGGAGCAUGUGGUUUAAUUCGAAGCAACGCGAAGAACCUUACCAGGACUUGACAUCCCAUAGACCAGUCUAGAGAUAGACUUUCCCUUCGGGGCUGUGGUGACAGGUGGUGCAUGGUUGUCGUCAGCUCGUGUCGUGAGAUGUUGGGUUAAGUCCCGCAACGAGCGCAACCCUUACUUUGUGUUGCCAGCAUUCAGUUGGGCACUCACAAGGGACUGCCGCCGAUAAGGCGGAGGAAGGUGGGGAUGACGUCAAAUCAUCAUGCCCCUUAUGUCCUGGGCUACACACGUGCUACAAUGGGCGGUACAACGGGAUGCGAAGCCGCGAGGUGGAGCCAAACCCUGAAAACCGUUAGUAGUUCGAAUUGUAGGCUGCAACUCGCCUACAUGAAGCCGGAAUUGCUAGUAAUCGCGGAUCAGCAUGCCGCGGUGAAUCCGUUCCCGGGCCUUGUACACACCGCCCGUCACACCACGAGAAUGGGCAACACCCGAAGUCGGUGAGGUAACCUUUACGGGAGCUAGCCGCCGAAGG